CCUACGGGGGGCAGCAGUGGGGAAUAUUGGACAAUGGGGGGAACCCUGAUCCAGCCAUGCCGCGUGUGUGAAGAAGGCCCUCGGGUUGUAAAGCACUUUCAGUGAGGAAGAACGCCUGGUGGUUAAUACCCAUCAGGAAAGACAUCACUCACAGAAGAAGCACCGGCUAACUCAGUGCCAGCAGCCGCGGUAAUACGGAGGGUGCGAGCGUUAAUCGGAAUUACUGGGCGUAAAGCGCGCGUAGGUGGCUUGAUAAGCCGGUUGUGAAAGCCCCGGGCUCAACCUGGGAACGGCAUCCGGAACUGUCAAGCUAGAGUGCAGGAGAGGAAGGUAGAAUUCCCGGUGUAGCGGUGAAAUGCGUAGAGAUCGGGAGGAAUACCAGUGGCGAAGGCGGCCUUCUGGACUGACACUGACACUGAGGUGCGAAAGCGUGGGUAGCAAACAGGAUUAGAUACCCUAGUAGUC
rnacentral:rRNA from 1 species